CAUAUUUUAAUUUGUUGUAUUUAAACUAGAUAUCUAGAGCACAGCUUCAGAGAUCAACCUUAUCCCCAACUAGUCUAAGCUUCUCAAUCAGUCUGUAAGCUGCACGAGGCAUGUGAUAUACGCCGUGUCACUUUAAUAUUACAAAACAGGGCAUGCAAUAUAGACUUAUACACUCAUGGGAAGAGUACAGGGCAUGUAAUAUUAACCUAGUCAUUGUAACGUGCAGGGAAUGCCGUCUAGAACUUAAAUCUUGUAUUUUCUAGAGCAUGUGUUGCAGAUCUGUGUUAACAUCCAAGUCUGUCCUCUCCUUGUGAUUCAUAAAUGUUUUUUGUUCUAUAAAUAAUUGAUGUAAUGCCU